rnacentral:rRNA from 1 species
UACGUAGGGGGCAAGCGUUGUCCGGAAUCAUUGGGCGUAAAGAGCGCGUAGGCGGUCCGGUAAGUCCGCUCUGAAAGUCCGGGGCUCAACCCCGGGAGGCGGGCGGAUACUGUCGGGCUAGAGUCCGGAAGAGGCGAGUGGAAUUCCCGGUGUAGUGGUGGAAUGCGUAGAUAUCGGGAGGAACACCAGUGGCGAAGGCGGUUGCCUGGAGCUUUGCUGACGCUGAUGCGCGAAAGCGUGGGGAGCGAACAGG